rnacentral:rRNA from 1 species
CAGCCGCCGCGGUAAUACGAAGGGGGCUAGCGUUGUUCGGAUUUACUGGGCGUAAAGGGCGCGUAGGCGGACUGAUAAGUCAGGGGUGAAAUCCCAAGGCUCAACCUUGGAACUGCCUUUGAUACUGUUUGUCUUGAGUUCGAGAGAGGUAAGUGGAACUGCGAGUGUAGAGGUGAAAUUCGUAGAUAUUCGCAAGAACACCAGUGGCGAAGGCGGCUUACUGGCUCGAAACUGACGCUGAGGCGCGAAAGCGUGGGGAGCAAACAGGAUUAGAUACCCGUGUAGUCCCUGUCUCUUAUAU